UACCAAAUCCAGUUCUUGAGGAUGCUGUAAAUCCUAGUGCUGCCAGAAUUUUUGCUUCCUCACCCAGUGGUUUCAGACAGACUGUGCUGGACUGUGUUCUUGCCAGUAAGAGAAUUGAAGCCGCAGGGUUCAAUUCAGCGGAGAACUAAUACCAUAACACGCCCCGAGGAUGUUGCAUUUCUAGAAAGAUUUGUUUAUAAACCACCAGCAGAAGUGACCAAUAUAUAUGGAACAGUUGAAGAUGAAAAUCUACAGAAAAACGUUGAACAGACAGAAAUUCAGCUAUUUGAGGAACAAGAUGAGAAUCAAACUGAUGGUCAAAAUGAGUUGGGAAGUUGUACACCAACACUACAUCAGGAUCCAGAGCAAAGCAGAACAGAACACGUUUCGCUUGAAACCGGUUUGACUUGUUCCUGUAAUAGUGCGUCAUUAUCGAAUCUCCCGGAUGUGAUACAGACUGACUACAAAGAGAACUAUAAAGCGAAAAAUGACAGUACGGUGUGAAAAGUGAGAGGAAGCGUGCGCACCUGCUUGUUUGAGAUUAAUUUUCUUACAUGAGAAUCUCGCUAAAUGCGUGUUUGGUGAGCGAAAUGGGGAAUUUUUGCACACGAGGAUUUAAUGCCUAGCAGGGAAAUGUGCUUUCUUGGAUGGCAUAAGUGGCCCCCUUUAGAAGAGUAGAGGAGAUAAGCUGGGAAACCCAGAAAGAAGUCCUAAAACCUUGAUGAAAUGUCCACUGCUGAAAUAUCAGGAAAAUAUUUGUGGUCCAGGAGCACUACUCAGAAGGCUCGAGGUUUUCGCUGUAGAGCGGAAAUAAAAAGAUUGGAUCAAUGUCAGUAUCUGAGCAACUGUACACCCAUCUCUCCCCUGAUAACAAGUUAAGGUUAUUGUUGGAUUAGGGGAGGAGUAGGGGCGAAGUUGCUCAGGUACUGAAACUGAUCCUAUGGAUUCGUCUUUCCAUUUGUCUUUUAAUAAAAAGACUACCUUGCUAAGUUAAUGGAUAAUCGCGUAGGUCAUAAAGAAACUGCAAUGUUUGAAUAUUUA